rnacentral:rRNA from 1 species
UCAUGGACGAGAGUCUGAACCAGCCAAGUAGCGUGAAGGAUGACUGCCCCCUGGGUUGUAAACUUCUUUUAUACGGGAAUAAAGUGAGGCACGNCNUGCCUUUUUGUAUGUACCGUAUGAAUAAGGAUCGGCUAACUCCGUGCCAGCAGCCGCGGUAAUACGGAGGAUCCGAGCGUUAUCCGGAUUUAUUGGGUUUAAAGGGAGCGUAGGCGGACGCUUAAGUCAGUUGUGAAAGUUUGCGGCUCAACCGUAAAAUUGCAGUUGAUACUGGGUGUCUUGAGUACAGUAGAGGCAGGCGGAAUUCGUGGUGUAGCGGUGAAAUGCUUAGAUAUCACGAAGAACUCCGAUUGCGAAGGCAGCCUGCUGGACUGUAACUGACGCUGAUGCUCGAAAGUGUGGGUAUCAAACAGGAUUAGAUACCCUGGUAGUCCAAGGGCGAAUUC